GAUGAAGAACGCAGCGAAAUGCGAUAAGUAAUGUGAAUUGCAGAAUUCAGUGAAUCAUCGAAUCUUUGAACGCACAUUGCGCCCCUUGGUAUUCCGAGGGGCAUGCCUGUUCGAGCGUCAUUAUAACCCCUCAAGCUCAGCUUGGUGUUGGGGCCUGCUGCACUGGCAGCCCUUAAAAUCAGUGGCGGCGCCAUCUGGCUCUAAGCGUAGUAAUUCUUCUCGCUAUGGAGUCCUGGUGGAUGCUUGCCAUCAACCCCCAGUUUUUCUAUGGUUGACCUCGGAUCAGGUAGGGAUACCCGCUGAACUUAAGCAUAUCAAUAAGCGGAGGA
rnacentral:misc_RNA from 1 species